rnacentral:rRNA from 1 species
CAGUAGCCGCGGGAUACGAAGGGUGCAAGCGUUACUCGGAAUUACUGGGCGUAAAGCGUGCGUAGGUGGUGGUUUAAGUCCGUUGUGAAAGCCCUGGGCUCAACCUGGGAAUUGCAGUGGAUACUGGGUCACUAGAGUGUGGUAGAGGAUAGUGGAAUUUCCGGUGUAGCAGUGAAAUGCGUAGAGAUCGGAAGGAACAUCUGUGGCGAAGGCGACUAUCUGGGCCAACACUGACACUGAGGCACGAAAGCGUGGGGAGCAAACAGGAUUAGAUACCCCUGUAGUCCCUGUCUCUUAUACA